CCUACGGGUGGCAGCAGUGGGGAAUAUUGCACAAUGGGGGGAACCCUGAUGCAGCGACGCAGCGUGGGUGAGGAAGUACUUCGGUAUGUAAAGCCCUAUUAGCAGGGAAGAAAAUGACGGUACCUGACUAAGAAGCUCUGUCUAACUACGUGCCAGCACCCGUGGUAAUACGUAGGGGGCAAGCGUUAUCCGGAUUUACUGGGGGUAAAGGGAGUGUAGACGGGGUGCAAAGUCUGAUGGGAAAGGCCGGGGCUCAACCCCGGGACUGCAUUGGAAACUGGGGUGCUGGAGUGCGGGAGGGGCAAGCGGAAUUCGUAGUGUAGCGGUGAAAUGCGUAGAUAUUAGGAGGAACACCGGUGGCGAAGGCGUCUUGCUGGACGGUAACUGACGUUGAGGCUCGAAAGCGUGGGGAGCAAACAGGAUUAGAUACCCCUGUAGUC
rnacentral:rRNA from 1 species